CCUUUUUUCUUCCUUUUUUUUUUUUUCUUAUUUUUUUUUUACCCGCUGCGCUCGGGCUCCGGAUCCGCUCAGCGUCGGUGACAGCAGCCGAGAGGAGCCGGGCGGCGCUCCCGGCGCGGGGCUGGGGAUGGCGAGCCCCGCUGUGCUGGGGCUGCUGCCCCCCCUGAGCUCCCCGCCCGGCCCCAACCUGAACAACAACAACAACAACAACCAGGGCGUCAGGAAGUGCGGGUACCUGCGCAAGCAGAAGCACGGCCACAAGCGCUUCUUCGUGCUGCGCGGCCCGGGCGGCGGCGGGGAGGAGGCGGGGGGUGCCCGGCUGGAGUACUACGAGAGCGAGAAGAAAUGGAGGAACAAGUCCGGGGCGCCCAAGCGGGUGAUCGCCCUGGACUCCUGCCUCAACAUCAACAAGCGGGCGGACGCCAAGCACAAGUACCUCAUCGCCCUCUACACCAAGGACGAGUACUUCGCUGUGGCGGCCGAGAACGAGCAGGAGCAGGAGGGCUGGUACAGGGCUCUCACCGACCUGCUCAACGAGGGCAAGGCGGCCUGCCAGGGGUCUCCCUACCGCCACCUCGCCUCCCCCUUCUCCGCCUCCUGCGGCGCGGCCGCCGCCUCCCUGGCCGCCGCCGGCGAAGACCUUAACUACGGGCUGAUCGCUCCGGCCACCGCUGCCUACCGAGAGGUCUGGCAGGUGACGCUGAAGCCCAAGGGCUUGGGGCAGAGUAAAAACCUCACCGGCGUCCACCGGCUCUGCCUCUCGGCCCGCACCAUUGGGUUCGUGCGCCUCAAUUGCGAGCUGCCCUCGGUCACACUGCAGCUGAUGAACAUCCGCCGCUGCGGCCACUCCGACAGCUUCUUCUUCAUCGAGGUGGGGCGCUCGGCCGCCACCGGCCCCGGCGAGCUCUGGAUGCAAGCGGACGACUCGGUGGUGGCCCAGAACAUCCACGAGACCAUCCUGGAAGCCAUGAAGGCGCUGAAGGAGCUGUCCGAGUUCCGGCCCCGCAGCAAGAGCCAGUCCUCCUCCUCCUCUUCCUCCGGGGGGGCAGGCGGGCUCGGCGGCAGCGGCGCCUCCGCCACCCACCCCAUCACCGUGCCCGGUCGCCGGCACCACCACCUGGUCAACCUGCCUCCCAGCCAGACCGGCCUCCUCCGCCGUUCCCGCACCGACAGCCUCGCCGCCGGCGCCGGCACCAAGUCCACGCCGUGCCGGGUGAGAACGGCCAGCGAGGGCGACGGCUGCCGGGUGGGCUCCGCGGCCGGCAGCCCCAUGAGCCCGGGCCCCGUGCGGACCCCCCUGAGCCGCUCGCACACGCUCAGCGGCGGCGGAGGGCGGCAGGCGGGGAAGCUGCUCCCGGUGCUGGCCGGCGGUGGCGGCGGCGGGCUGCAGAGCAGCCGUUCCAUGUCCAUGCCCGCCUCCCACUCGCCCCCCUCCGCCACCAGCCCCAUCAGCCUCUCCUCCAGUAGCGGCCUCGGCUCCGAGCCUGCCCACCCGCAUCACCCGCAGCGCCCGUCCAGCGGCAGCGCCUCCGUGUCCGGCUCCCCCAGCGACGCCGGCUUUAUGUCCUUCGACGAGUACGGCUCCAGCCCAGGCGGCGACCUCCGGCCCUUCUCCUCCUCCUCCACUGCCAGCAACCGCAGCAACACCCCCGAGUCGGUGGCCGAGACCCCCCCAGUGCGGGACCCGGGGGGCGGCACCGACCUUUACGGCUACAUGGCGAUGGAGCGGCCCCCGAGUGGCCGCCUGUGCUACCGGCCCUGCCCCGACGCUGCCAGCGACAGGUGCCAUCGGAAGCGGACCUACUCCCUGACCACGCCGUGCCGGCAGCGACCCGCCGCGCCGCAGGUUUCCUCCGCCUCCCUCGACGAGUACACGCUGAUGCGCGCCACCUUUGCCGGCAGCGCCGGCCGCCUCUUCCCCUCCUGCCAGGUCGGGGCUUCCCCCAAAGUGACCUACACCCCCUACCCCGAGGACUACGGGGACAUCGAGAUCGGUUCUCACCGCAGCUCCGGCAGCAGCAGCACCAAUCUGGGCCCGCCGGCAGUGGGGGGAGGAGGGGGAGAUGAUGACGGCUACAUGCCCAUGACCCCCGGUGUGGCCGCAGCCUUAGGACAGGGAAGCCGGGGCAGCGAUGAUUACAUGCCCAUGAGCCCCACCAGCGUGUCUGCCCCCAAGCAGAUCCUGCAGCCCCGGGUAGGGGUGGGUAGUGGGUCCCCUGGGAACGGGAGCAGCUACAAGACCAGCUCCCCUGGGGAGAGCUCCCCUGACGAUAGCGGGUACAUGCGGAUGUGGUGCGGCUCCAAGUUGUCUGUGGAGAGCUCAGAUGGAAGGCUGAGUAACGGCGACUAUAUCAACAUGUCCCCUCGGGAACCCCAGAAUGGGCCCCAAGCUCCCUCCCUCACCCCCCCAGACUUCUUUUUUGCCCCUUCAGGGCAUGGGUCCAGCGAGCCCCCAAAGCCCAGCUGCUAUUCAUACAGCUCCUUACCCCGCUCGUACAAGAGCCAGGGCUUGGCAAAGGACAGCGACCAGUAUGUGUUCAUGAACUCCCCGGGGAGGAUGAUCCCGGAGGAGGCAGUGUGUGGAGCGAGCCAGUUCCCUGCAGGUAGCUUCUCUCCCUGCAGCCACACGGUGCCUUCGCCCCUGCGGCACAGCCGGACCGAGAGCUUCCUAAGCCAGCGGUGCCAGCGGGUGGCCCGGCCCAGCCGCCUCUCUUUGGAGACCUUGCGGACGAUGCUGCCCAGCAUGAACGAGCACCCUCUGCCGCCUGAGCCCAAGAGCCCUGGUGAAUACAUCAACAUUGACUUCGGGGAUGCUGCUGUCUAUUCUCCCCCCUCGCUACCUGCUGACAGCCCAGCCUCCUCCCUGGGCUCAGGCACAGGGCAGAGGCGCUCCCCUCUCUCUGACUACAUGAACAUUGACUUCGGGUCACAGUCACCCUCCCAGUCGGGCACAGUCUCAGUGGGCUCGUUGGAAGCUCUCUCUCCAGGUUCUUCCUCCAGCACCAGCCAGCCCAGUGGGCGCUACCUGAAGGCAGCUGUGGGGGUGGCUUGUUCAUCCAGCCCAUCGGAUGGUGGUGAUUACACUGAAAUGACCUUUGGCAUGGCCACUACCCCACCUCAACCCAUCGUUCAGAAACCAGAAAGUGCCCGGGUCACCAGCCCCACAUCUGGCAUGAAGAGGCUCACCCUCUCUGGGGUGGAAGCUUUCAUUCUCUCCAGCCCUCCCCCAGACCCGAAUCGGGGGGCCAAAGUAAUCCGGGCAGAUCCCCAGGGGCGGAGGAGGCACAGCUCAGAAACUUUCUCCUCCACCACCACUGUGACCCCAGUGUCCCCCUCCUUCGCACACAACCCCAAACGACACAACUCAGCCUCGGUGGAGAACGUGUCCCUCAGGAAAAGUGAAGGCCUGGAAGAGGAGCAGGGUAGCAGUCCCAUGUGCCGGGAGACCUCGGCUGGCUUCCAGAAUGGCCUCAACUACAUUGCCAUUGAUGUGGUGGAUGGGUCCCUGGCAAACUGUGACAAGUCCAGGUUGAAAGCUAGGCACCUACUGAAUGGGGGCAUCAAUGGAGUAGAGAUGAGCACCUAUGCCAGCAUAGACUUUCUGUCUCACAACCUGAAAGAAGCCAGUGCUGUGAAAGGAAGUACAGGAAGAUGGAAAAGAUGAGAGAUCCACCGUUUGCAGAGCAAGCUUUGAACCUUAUUAAGACGAGAGGAUUGUUGAAUGCAAUGUCAGAGUUUGAAAAGCUGAAGGCUUAUUCUGAAUGACUGGAAGGGUUGAGGGCCGAGCCUUAUUUGUCUCUUGCUUUUAGUUUUGCUGGGGUCGCUUUCAGGAUCCUUGCGGCUUGCCCGAGCCCGGUGCGGAUGCUGCAGCCCCCGCUCUCCUUGCCCGGCCUUGGGAUGGCGGGCCCGGGCGCCAGCGGGCCAGCGCGCCCCUUUUGCUUUGCAAACGGAAUUUUCGCAGAAACGAGGAGCUUGUCUUGAGCCACCUACAACCCCAAUUGCAAAUGAAGCCCGGUGUUGGGAAAGAGCGAUUUCCACAGCGUUCCCCGAAGUGCUGACCCGAAGGGAGGGUGGGGGGCGGGCCCCGGUUACCGGGAAAACCCGGCGCGGGAGCGCGGCAGGCGGCGCGCGGGAAUGGGAGCGGCGGGCGGUCAGAUAAGGAGAGGGGAACGACCGCUGUCCUUCCCAUCCUGUAAACAAAAGGAUAAUGCAGGGAACGCAGCCGUGCUAAUGUGGUACGCGGCUUACAGCCGAGAGGGCUCCGUGCUGCUGCUGCGUGUGUUUGUCCAAGGACGGUUAUAGGCUUGUCUUAUUUUAAUAUUUAAUCUGCAUGUGUGUUUGUUUUUCCUCUUUCCCGUAAGCUUCUAAACGCAGAUCACAUGGAGGAGUGGUGCGGGGAGGCUCGUUGGGAUUGACCCUAUCUGUAGGAGGUGGGCUGUCUGCUCCAGCACCUCGCUUCCCUGAGAAGGGUGCCAGCCUGUAGGGUGCACUCAGAGAGUGAAGGAAUUAGUUUUCUCACCAUGACCUCAAACAACAGAGUACAACAUUCAAAGAAGCUGCUCGGCAUAUACCUUUUUGUUUAUUUGUUUUUUUGGUUUUUGUUUUUGGUAACUGAAGCUGCUUAACGUUUACUUUUUAUUGUUGUUACUGUUGGCCCUAACAGUUGCUUAACUGUUGUGGGCUAAACCGUGCAACAAAUCUGGGAGGAAGGGAAGGCAACCUGCCUAACUCAGUACCUGUCCAUGGCAUCUGUGUUACCAUUUUGCUGCUGUUUCGACAGAAGUUGGAGAUGCUCUUUAAAUCAUAGGAACUUUUCUGCUGGCCUCUUUAAGUAAUGGCCAAUGCCUUCAUUUUCUUUUUCUUCAAGGAAAAACUGUAUUUAUUCUCUGGCAUAUUAGGGGAUUCUGUAACACGUGCUGAAGCAGCAAGAUCUGGUAUUUACUGGCAUAAUUUCAAGCCUACGACAGUCCUACCUCAGUUCAAAGUAAAGCCGGAUUUGCAGUGUUGGUGUACGACAGGAACUCCUUUAUCUCUGUGCUGAGUUUCUCCAGAACGGUCGCCAGCCUUACUGAACUUGUACAGCUGCUGCUGCUGCUGGGUUUUGCAUCACUAGCCGCAGGGUUUACUUCUCAGACAAAGCCUAAGUAGGGCACUGAAAAGUCUAAAACGGGAUGAAACUCUGUGAAUCAGACUUGGACAGAGGAUUCAGAGUAGUUAAAAAGUAUAAAAUGUAUAACUGAAGCAACAUAAGUUAAAAACAUCAACCUGUAUUAGGGAUAUCUUUGUACCUUUGACACACUUGUUUAAUCCUCUCUAUGUAGGUGUUUAUGUAGGUACUUCAGAUUGCAAAAGCCUUUUCUUCUAUUUACAAGCUCACUUUCGUCAGCUAACUGUUCUUAGCUGCAUUUCUUGUAACCAAAAAUCCACAUAAGCAUGCUAGGAAUGCAGGGAUGAUAAUGGGUAUCAGGCAGAUUCAAGAGCUAAUGUUAACACAGUAUUAUCUUGCCAUCUAUAAAGUCCUGAUAUUUGCCUUUACCAAGAAAAAGCACCAUUGUAGCUGCAGGCACUAUUACAGGGAAGAACCAUUGCAGUCACUUAUCCUGAGUUCUUUUCAAGGCUAACUGUGCAUCACAUUUUCAGUGGCCUGAAAAUCUGAGUGGUGUGGCAGCUGCUGUCACAAAAGUCACAUACAACUGUUGCACCAGACUAGCAGAAUGUCAUGCCACCUUGCUUCUCCUUUGAUUGAAGUGUUUGUGUACAUUUUAAGGGUACCCCACCAGUGCCUGCUCUGAUACACAUGUAAGUAUUACUGAGUUAGGAGUUAUGUGAGGCUUUUUUUUUUUUUUUUUUUUUUUUUUUUUUUUUUUUUUUUUUUUUUUUUUUGUCUUUAAUCAUUGUGCUUGGUGGAACCCAUACUUCACUAUUGACAAUACAUUAUCUUCUUUUGGGAUUUUUUUUAAGGAAGACAAGAGUCCAUGUCUUACAAAUACAAUGAACGGCAAUGCAGUCUUCCUGCUUACAUGCUGAUUUUUUAGAACUGAGGAUUGUAUUACAAGACAAAGAUGAAUGUAAACUAAUUCCUUCCCUACUCCAUGGCUCACUUUAUUUUUCUGUGUAAUUUUUGGGGUCUUAAAUCACAGCAAUGCAUAAUACAAUAUUAGAUCUAAAAUCAAUUUAAAUACCUGAUCUGAUUCAGUUUUUCUCUAAUACUAAUGCUAUAAAUGAUUCUAAGACAUUCUAAAAUGCUGCUUGUUCAAGUCUGGAACUAAAAAACCUGCAUCCCUUUGACAUUUUCUGUCUGACCCCUCCCCACCCCCUGCCAGCACUGAGUGUGGUACCUGCUGAAUUCAGUGUUUUGAACACCUCUAUUUUCAAAUAUCUCUCUGUAUCAAUUAAGAAAUCAUGCCACUAAAACAAAUGGCUAAACUGCAUACAGUAACUUUAAAAAAAAAAUAAAAAAACCCAACAAAAUAACCUGACAAAAUAAUAAAAUAUUCUCUAUCCUGUAUAUUUCACAAAGGCAUAUGCAAUACUUACAUUCUUAAUUUAGUUUACAGAAUGGAACCAAAAUGUAUAAAUGUUAUGUUUGCUAAAACUUCACAAUGUAUAUUGGGUCUUUGUACAUUUUGCCUGACUUACCUUAAAUUUAAAAUAUUUUUUGCUAUAUAACCUUAACAGUUACUAAGCAGUGUUUUCUUUUUGGGUACGUAUUGUUUCUGGAUAUCAAGAUGUUAAAUAUAUUUCUUGCUAUUGUGAUAUGACAAGAGACUUAUCUUGCUGUGUCUUCCAAUGUACACGCUGUAUAUAAGGAUAAAUGUGAUGCUGCUGGAGACCAGAAUAAAUGGAACUAGAGUAGUGUAUUGUAUUUAGUCUGUAUUGAUCAUGGAUGCUCUCCUUAAUAGCCAUAUGCAAUAAAAUACGUUAUUUAUGAAAGGAGUAAA